rnacentral:rRNA from 1 species
AGUCGAGGGGUAUAGUUCUUCGGAAUUAGAGACCGGCGCACGGGUGCGUAACGCGUAUGCAAUCUACCUUUUGCAGAGGGAUAGCCCAGAGAAAUUUGGAUUAAUACCUCAUAGUAUAGCAGUUUCGCAUGAAACCACUAUUAAAGUCACAACGGCAAAAGAUGAGCAUGCGUCCCAUUAGCUAGUUGGUAAGGUAACGGCUUACCAAGGCUACGAUGGGUAGGGGUCCUGAGAGGGAGAUCCCCCACACUGGUACUGAGACACGGACCAGACUCCUACGGGAGGCAGCAGUGAGGAAUAUUGGACAAUGGGCGCAAGCCUGAUCCAGCCAUGCCGCGUGCAGGAUGACGGUCCUAUGGAUUGUAAACUGCUUUUGUACAGGAAGAAACACUCCCUCGUGAGGGAGCUUGACGGUACUGUAAGAAUAAGGAUCGGCUAACUCCGUGCCAGCAGCCGCGGUAAUACGGAGGAUCCAAGCGUUAUCCGGAAUCAUUGGGUUUAAAGGGUCCGUAGGCGGUUUAGUAAGUCAGUGGUGAAAGCCCAUCGCUCAACGGUGGAACGGCCAUUGAUACUGCUAGACUUGAAUUAUUAGGAAGUAACUAGAAUAUGUAGUGUAGCGGUGAAAUGCUUAGAGAUUACAUGGAAAUACCAUUGCG